rnacentral:rRNA from 1 species
AGCGAACGCUGGCGGCAGGCCUAACACAUGCAAGUCGAACGAAGUCUUCGGACUUAGUGGCGGACGGGUGAGUAACACGUGGGAACGUGCCUUUAGGUUCGGAAUAACUCAGGGAAACUUGUGCUAAUACCGAAUGUGCCCUUCGGGGGAAAGAUUUAUCGCCUUUAGAGCGGCCCGCGCCUGAUUAGCUAGUUGGUGAGGCAAAGGCUCACCAAGGCGACGAUCAGUAGCUGGUCUGAGAGGAUGAUCAGCCACAUUGGGACUGAGACACGGCCCAAACUCCUACGGGAGGCAGCAGUGGGGAAUCUUGCGCAAUGGGCGAAAGCCUGACGCAGCCAUGCCGCGUGAAUGAUGAAGGUCUUAGGAUUGUAAAAUUCUUUCACCGGGGACGAUAAUGACGGUACCCGGAGAAGAAGCCCCGGCUAACUUCGUGCCAGCAGCCGCAGUAACAC